rnacentral:tRNA from 1 species
GCAUUGGUGGUUCAGUGGUAGAAAUCUUUCUUUCCAUGUGGGAGACCCAGGUUCAUUUCCUGGCCAAUGCA